GAGGGUGUGGCUCAGUGGUAGAGUGUGUGCUUAGCAUGCACGAGGUCCUGGGUCCAAUCCCCAGCACCUCUA
rnacentral:tRNA from 1 species